GAAAUGCGAUAAGUAAUGUGAAUUGCAGAAUUCGGUGAAUCAUCGAAUCUUUGAACGCACAUUGCGCCCGCCAGCACCCUGGCGGGCAUGCCUGUUCGAGCGUCAUUUCAACCCUCAGAACCCCUUGCGGGAUCUGGCGUUGGGGAUUGGCAUCCAGCCAGCCCCGAAAUCUAGUGGCGGUCCCUCCGCGACCUCCCCUGUGCAGUAGCGAUACCUCGCAGCGGGACAGCGGUCUGACCACGCCGUAAAACCCCCAACUUCUCAAGGUUGACCUCGAAUCAGGUAGGAAUACCCGCUGAACUUAAGC
rnacentral:misc_RNA from 1 species